rnacentral:rRNA from 1 species
GGUCAAGUGAAGAAGCGCAUACGGUGGAUGCCUUGGCAGUCAGAGGCGAUGAAAGACGUGGUAGCCUGCGAAAAGCUUCGGGGAGUCGGCAAACAGACUGUGAUCCGGAGAUGUCUGAAUGGGGGAACCCAGCCAUCAUAAGAUGGUUAUCUUGUACUGAAUACAUAGGUGCAAGAGGCGAACCAGGGGAACUGAAACAUCUAAGUACCCUGAGGAAAAGAAAUCAACCGAGAUUCCCUUAGUAGUGGCGAGCGAACGGGGACUAGCCCUUAAGUGGCUUUGAGAUUAGCGGAACGCUCUGGAAAGGGCGGCCAUAGUGGGUGAUAGCCCUGUACGCGAAAAUCUCUUAGUCAUGAAAUCGAGUAGGACGGAGCACGAGAAACUUUGUCUGAAUAUGGGGGGACCAUCCUCCAAGGCUAAAUACUACUGACUGACCGAUAGUGAACUAGUACCGUGAGGGAAAGGCGAAAAGAACCCCGGAGAGGGGAGUGAAAUAGAUCCUGAAACCGUAUGCGUACAAGCAGUGGGAGCCCACUUUGUUGGGUGACUGCGUACCUUUUGUAUAAUGGGUCAGCGACUUAUUUUCAGUGGCGAGCUUAACCGAAUAGGGGAGGCGUAGCGAAAGCGAGUCUUAAUAGGGCGUCUAGUCGCUGGGAAUAGACCCGAAACCGGGCGAUCUAUCCAUGGGCAGGUUGAAGGUUGGGUAACACUAACUGGAGGACCGAACCGACUACCGUUGAAAAGUUAGCGGAUGACCUGUGGAUCGGAGUGAAAGGCUAAUCAAGCUCGGAGAUAGCUGGUUCUCCUCGAAAGCUAUUUAGGUAGCGCCUCAUGUAUCACUGUAGGGGGUAGAGCACUGUUUCGGCUAGGGGGUCAUCCCGACUUACCAAACCGAUGCAAACUCCGAAUACCUACAAGUGCCGAGCAUGGGAGACACACGGCGGGUGCUAACGUCCGUCGUGAAAAGGGAAACAACCCAGACCGUCAGCUAAGGUCCCAAAGUUAUGGUUAAGUGGGAAACGAUGUGGGAAGGCUUAGACAGCUAGGAGGUUGGCUUAGAAGCAGCCACCCUUUAAAGAAAGCGUAAUAGCUCACUAGUCGAGUCGGCCUGCGCGGAAGAUGUAACGGGGCUCAAACCAUACACCGAAGCUACGGGUAUCACUUAGGUGAUGCGGUAGAGGAGCGUUCUGUAAGCCUGUGAAGGUGAGUUGAGAAGCUUGCUGGAGGUAUCAGAAGUGCGAAUGCUGACAUGAGUAACGACAAUGGGUGUGAAAAACACCCACGCCGAAAGACCAAGGUUUCCUGCGCAACGUUAAUCGACGCAGGGUUAGUCGGUCCCUAAGGCGAGGCUGAAAAGCGUAGUCGAUGGAAAACAGGUUAAUAUUCCUGUACUUCUGGUUAUUGCGAUGGAGGGACGGAGAAGGCUAGGCCAGCUUGGCGUUGGUUGUCCAAGUUUAAGGUGGUAGGCUGGAAUCUUAGGUAAAUCCGGGAUUCUAAGGCCGAGAGCUGAUGACGAGUUACCCUUUGGGUGACGAAGUGGUUGAUGCCAUGCUUCCAAGAAAAGCUUCUAAGCUUCAGGUAACCAGGAACCGUACCCCAAACCGACACAGGUGGUUGGGUAGAGAAUACCAAGGCGCUUGAGAGAACUCGGGUGAAGGAACUAGGCAAAAUGGCACCGUAACUUCGGGAGAAGGUGCGCCGGUGAGGGUGAAGCACUUGCUGCGUAAGCCCACGCCGGUCGAAGAUACCAGGCCGCUGCGACUGUUUAUUAAAAACACAGCACUCUGCAAACACGAAAGUGGACGUAUAGGGUGUGACGCCUGCCCGGUGCCGGAAGGUUAAUUGAUGGGGUUAGCUAACGCGAAGCUCUUGAUCGAAGCCCCGGUAAACGGCGGCCGUAACUAUAACGGUCCUAAGGUAGCGAAAUUCCUUGUCGGGUAAGUUCCGACCUGCACGAAUGGCGUAACGAUGGCGGCGCUGUCUCCACCCGAGACUCAGUGAAAUUGAAAUCGCUGUGAAGAUGCAGUGUAUCCGCGGCUAGACGGAAAGACCCCGUGAACCUUUACUAUAGCUUUGCACUGGACUUUGAAUUUGCUUGUGUAGGAUAGGUGGGAGGCUUUGAAGCGUGGACGCCAGUUCGCGUGGAGCCAACCUUGAAAUACCACCCUGGCAACUUUGAGGUUCUAACUCAGGUCCGUUAUCCGGAUCGAGGACAGUGUAUGGUGGGUAGUUUGACUGGGGCGGUCUCCUCCUAAAGAGUAACGGAGGAGUACGAAGGUGCGCUCAGACCGGUCGGAAAUCGGUCGUAGAGUAUAAAGGCAAAAGCGCGCUUGACUGCGAGACAGACACGUCGAGCAGGUACGAAAGUAGGUCUUAGUGAUCCGGUGGUUCUGUAUGGAAGGGCCAUCGCUCAACGGAUAAAAGGUACUCCGGGGAUAACAGGCUGAUACCGCCCAAGAGUUCAUAUCGACGGCGGUGUUUGGCACCUCGAUGUCGGCUCAUCACACCUGGGGCUGAAGCCGGUCCCAAGGGUAUGGCUGUUCGCCAUUUAAGUGGUACGCGAGCUGGGUUUAACGUCGUGAGACAGUUCGGUCCCUAUCUGCCGUGGACGUUUGAGAUUUGAGAGGGGCUGCUCCUAGUACGAGAGGACCGGAGUGGACGAACCUCUGGUGUUUCCGGUGUUGUCACGCCAGUGGCAUUGCCGGGUAGCUAUGUUCGGAAAAGAUAACCGCUGAAAGCAUCUAAGCGGGAAACUUGCCUCAAGAUGAGAUCUCACUGGGACCUUGAGUCCCCUGAAGGGCCGUCGAAGACUACGACGUUGAUAGGUGGGGUGUGUAAGCGCUGUGAGGCGUUGAGCUAACCCAUACUAAUUGCCCGUGAGGCUUGACCAU